GUUUUUGGAAUCUUCAUAACCAAGAGGAACAACAAUGACACACUGAUUAUGAUGUUGGCAUUUUGUAGGCCAAUUUGGAAAGUGUAGAAUGACUACAUUACCCAUAAUGCUCAUUGACUGAACAUUCCACCUUACCGUGGGAAAUUUGGUAGUUUUUUUAAAUGCUCUGGAAUUGAGAGCAGUAUCCAAACCAAAUAUCUUAGGAGAAUAAACAAUAUAUUUUUGUUGUUUGGCUUCAUUGUCCAUCCUCAAAGGUGAAAUUGCAUCAAAUCGAAUGAAACAUUUCUAAUGAUGGGGUGCCACUAGAUAAAACAUAUUUGUAUAUACUCAUCUGCCUCUUCAGGCGUAAGCCAGUAGGUUGACACCAUCCAGUCAGCUGCUAACUUACUCUCUGUCUCCCCUACAGGUGUCUGUCUGAUGUGCACCGUUCAGGUCUACCUGACAGUGUGGCAAACCAUGCCUCAAAAGCAGACCUCAUGUGGAAGGUCAAGUACUCCUUGUCGGGAUACGAUUUGAAGUAUCUGGGGGACACGCAACAGGUAACUGAGGCACUACUCUCUUGUGUACGAGUGCUCUUCUUGCAAGGGUUCAUUUUCUCUUUUUAAUUUGCUUUUAUCUUGGUGUGUUUCUUUCUCUUCCUCAUCAUAGGACGCACACGAGUUACUCGUCAAUAUGCUGUGCCAGCUGAAGGAGGAGGGCAUGAUUCUGAAGACACUCGGGAUGAACUAUACCUGCCCUGUUUCCCAGCUGGAGUUCCAGCUUGUGUCGGUGCGCNNNNNNNNNNGAUGGGGUGCCACUAGAUAAAACAUAUUUGUAUAUACUCAUCUGCCUCUUCAGGCGUAAGCCAGUAGGUUGACACCAUCCAGUCAGCUGCUAACUUACUCUCUGUCUCCCCUACAGGUGUCUGUCUGAUGUGCACCGUUCAGGUCUACCUGACAGUGUGGCAAACCAUGCCUCAAAAGCAGACCUCAUGUGGAAGGUCAAGUACUCCUUGUCGGGAUACGAUUUGAAGUAUCUGGGGGACACGCAACAGGACGCACACGAGUUACUCGUCAAUAUGCUGUGCCAGCUGAAGGAGGAGGGCAUGAUUCUGAAGACACUCGGGAUGAACUAUACCUGCCCUGUUUCCCAGCUGGAGUUCCAGCUUGUGUCGGUGCGCACAUGUACCAGCUGUGGGCGCGAGUCGUCCACCAGAGAGGACUACAACCACCUCUCAUUGGACAUCAGCCCUGAGCGCACCUUGCUGAACAGCCUAGCACUCACUUUCAAAGUCAGCACUUAGGGCUCAGCCCUGCAUGUAGAGACUAACACCCAGGGCAAGCUGCCCACUGCCUCAGAAUACGCUAUCUUAUUAUUGUAGUGGUAUCAUUCAUUAUGUAAUGCUUUUGUUUCUAAUCAGAGUGAACAGGUUGAAUUCACAUGUGAGGGCUGUAAAGGCCUCCACGCCUCAAAGGUGGAGCAGUUCCACACACUGCCUCUGUGAGUUGUCCCUUUAUAACCUCUCAUAGUACUAGCAGUGUUUAAUGUCCUGAGCCUUUAGGAGUAGUUACCUUCCUGAGCAGGUUGUAGGACUUAGAGGUGAGCACCGCCAAACAAAUUUCACUCAUCUGUUAUUUUGUUGACUGGUUNNNNNNNNNNAGUACAGUGCCAUCCUAGAGUCUCUUUGGAGAGUUGGGUUUAGUGCUACCAGACCAGGGCCAGUGUUAAUCAACAGUAUGAGUGCUAAUCUAGGAUCAGGUUCUCUCUGUCCAUAAUAAUCUGAUUCAUUGAUCUAUGAUCUAAAAUGCAAAACUGGUCCUAGAUCAGACUCCUACUCUGAGACACUUGGUAAACACAGUCCCAG
rnacentral:lncRNA from 13 species